GACGAACGCUGGCGGCGUGCUUAACACAUGCAAGUCGAGCGGUAAGGCCCUUUCGGGGGUACACGAGCGGCGAACGGGUGAGUAACACGUGGGUGACCUGCCUUUAGCUCUGGGAUAAGCCUGGGAAACUGGGUCUAAUACCGGAUAUGACUCCGCGGUGCAUGCUGUGGGGUGGAAAGCCUUGUGCGGCUGGAGAUGGGCCCGCGGCCUAUCAGCUUGUUGGUGGGGUNAUGGCCUACCAAGGCGACGACGGGUAGCCGGCCUGAGAGGGCGACCGGCCACACUGGGACUGAGACACGGCCCAGACUCCUACGGGAGGCAGCAGUGGGGAAUCUUGCGCAAUGGGCGAAAGCCUGACGCAGCGACGCCGCGUGAGGGAUGACGGCCUGGUGU
rnacentral:rRNA from 1 species